CACGUAGGCGGAUCGUUAAGUUAGGGGUGAAAUCCUGGAGCUCAACUCCAGAACUGCCUUUAAUACUGGCGAUCUCGAGUCCGGAAGAGGUGAGUGGAACUCCUAGUGUAGAGGUGGAAUUCGUAGAUAUUAGGAAGAACACCAGUGGCGAAGGCGGCUCACUGGUCCGGUACUGACGCUGAUGUGCGAAAGCGUGGGGAGCAAACAGGAUUAGAUACCCUGGUAGUCCACGCCGUAAACUAUGAGAGCUAGCCGUUGGGAAGUUUACUUCUCAGUGGCGCAGCUAACGCAUUAAGCUCUCCGCCUGGGGAGUACGGUCGCAAGAUUAAA
rnacentral:rRNA from 1 species